GGUUUCUCUGUGCAGCUUUGGAGCCUAUCCUGGCACUCACUCUGGAGACCAGGCUGGCCUUGAACUCACAGAGAUCCGCCUGCCUCUGCCUCCCGAGUGCUGGGACUAAAGGCGUGCACCACAAACGCCCG
rnacentral:miRNA from 1 species